CGAGUUUGAUCCUGGCUACAGACAACGCUGGCGGCAGGCCUAACACAUGCAAGUCGAGCGGUAGAGAGGUGCUUGCAUCUCUUGAGAGCGGCGGACGGGUGAGUAAUGCCUAGGAAUCUGCCUAGUGUGGGGGGAUAACGUUCGGAAACGGACGCUAAUACCGCAUACGUCCUACGGGAGAAANCGGGGGGAUCUUCGGACCUCGCGCCAUUAGAUGAGCCUAGGUCGGAUUAGCUAGUUGGUGAGGUAAUGGCUCACCAAGGCGACGAUCCGUAACUGGUCUGAGAGGAUGAUCAGUCACACUGGAACUGAGACACGGUCCAGACUCCUACGGGAGGCAGCAGUGGGGAAUAUUGGACAAUGGGCGAAAGCCUGAUCCAGCCAUGCCGCGUGUGUGAAGAAGGUCUUCGGAUUGUAAAGCACUUUAAGUCGGGAGGAAGGGUAGUAACCUAAAACGUUGCUACUUUGACGUUACCGACAGAAUAAGCACCGGCUAACUUCGUG
rnacentral:rRNA from 1 species